CUUCAGGAAACUGGGGCUAAUACCGGAUAGGAGCUCCUGCUGCAUGGUGGGGGUUGGAAAGUUUCGGCGGUUGGGGAUGGACUCGCGGCUUAUCAGCUUGUUGGUGGGGUAGUGGCUUACCAAGGCUUUGCGGGUAGCCGGCCUGAGAGGGUGACCGGCCACAUUGGGACUGAGAUACGGCCCAG
rnacentral:rRNA from 1 species